UCCCAGGUGGUUCAAUGGUAAAAAAUUUGCCUGCAAUGCAGGAGAUGCAGGUUCAAUCCCUGGAUUAGGAA
rnacentral:tRNA from 1 species